rfam:Schistosoma curassoni strain Dakar, Senegal genome assembly, scaffold: SCTD_scaffold0004181
AUCCAUCUGAUGAGUCCUAAACAUGACGAAACACAUGUCCUGAAU